AAAGAUGUGGUGCUUCUUCUGCUUGCCUACUUUGAUGAAAAGGAAGAAAUUAUGUUUCAUUAUGUGGAAGAUUCUUGCCUUGUUGAAGAUGUGGAGGUAGACAAAUUACCAGCAACACCCUGCAUCAUUGUCUGUGGAUCUUCCUGCUAUACAUCAAACCUAUUCAUGCUGAGUAUCGACCAAAAGAUCACCACUCCACACAUUCCUACAUUUAUCUCUGCAAUAUGCAUGAUGUUUCGCAGUUAUACUGUUUUAACAUUCAUUAUUUUUUGGAACUGUGUUCUACUCUGGAGUUCAUGCAAAGGUGCUUCUUCAGCAUAAAUCCAGAGAAGGGCACCAAAGUUGAAUCGAGAAAAAACAAGAAACAGC